GACGAACGCUGGCGGCGCGCCUAACACAUGCAAGUCGAACGGAGUCAAGAGGAGCUUGCUUUUCUUGACUUAGUGGCGAACGGGUGAGUAACGCGUGAGUAACCUGCCCUGGAGUGGGGGACGACAGUUGGAAACGACUGCUAAUACCGCAUAAGCCCACGGAUCUGCAUGGAUCUGCGGGAAAAGGAUUUAUUCGCUCUAGGAUGGACUCGCGUCCAAUUAGCUAGUUGGUGAGGUAACGGCCCACCAAGGCGACGAUUGGUAGCCGGACUGAGAGGUUGAACGGCCACAUUGGGACUGAGACACGGCCCAGACUCCUACGGGAGGCAGCAGUGGGGGAUAUUGCACAAUGGGGGAAACCCUGAUGCAGCGACGCCGCGUGGAGGAAGAAGGUUUUCGGAUUGUAAACUCCUGUCGUUAGGGACGAUAAGGACGGUACCUAACAAGAAAGCACCAGCUAACUACGU
rnacentral:rRNA from 1 species